CACGUAGGGUGCGAGCGUUGUCCGGAAUUAUUGGGCGUAAAGAGCUCGUAGGCGGUGUGUCGCGUCGGCCGUGAAAACCUGCAGCUCAACUGUGGGCGUGCGGGCGAUACGGGCAGACUGGAGUACUGCAGGGGAGACUGGAAUUCCUGGUGUAGCGGUGGAAUGCGCAGAUAUCAGGAGGAACACCGAUGGCGAAGGCAGCUCGCUGGGACGUAACUGACGCUGAGACGCGAAAGCGUGGGGAGCAAACAGG
rnacentral:rRNA from 1 species